AUUUCAUUUAUGUGGUUAUAUUAGUAACAGAAAUAAAGGGUUUCCUGAAAAUUGGCUGGAAACUUGUUUGGUGAUGGACAGUCAUAAGAAGAAAAGCUGAAGCCACACAACGUUUUGUUUGUUCUAUUGAUAAUUUGGCUUAAAUUUUCUCAAUAAAGAAUCUAAGUUUGCUCA
rnacentral:lncRNA from 12 species